UACGAAGGGUGCAAACGUUGCUCGGAAUUAUUGGGCGUAAAGCGCGUGUAGGCGGCUUUGCAAGUCGGGUGUGAAACCUCCAGGCUCAACCUGGAGACGCCACCCGAUACUGUCGUGACUAGAGUCCAGUAGGGGGAGCGUGGAAUUCCUGGUGUAGCGGUGAAAUGCGCAGAUAUCUGGAGGAACACCGGUGGCGAAGGCGGCAUCCUGGACCGGUAUUGACGCUGAUGCGCGAAAGCCAGGGGAGCAAACGGG
rnacentral:rRNA from 1 species